rnacentral:rRNA from 1 species
UAGGGAAUCUUCCGCAAUGGGCGAAAGCCUGACGGAGCAACGCCGCGUGAGUGAUGAAGGUCUUCGGAUCGUAAAACUCUGUUAUUAGGGAAGAACAAAUGUGUAUGUAACUAUGCACGUCUUGACGGUACCUAAUCAGAAAGCCACGGCUAACUACGUGCCAGCAGCCGCGGUAAUACGUAGGUGGCAAGCGUUAUCCGGAAUUAUUGGGCGUAAAGCGCGCGUAGGCGGUUUUUUAAGUCUGAUGUGAAAGCCCACGGCUCAACCGUGGAAGGUCAUUUGAAACUGGAAAACUUGAGUGCAGAAGAGGAAAGUGGAAUUCCAUGUGUAGCGGUGAAAUGCGCAGAGAUAUGGAGGAACACCAGUGGCGAAGGCGACUUUCUGGUCUGUAACUGACGCUGCUGUGCGAAAGCGUGGGGAUCAAACAGG